UGGACAGAUUAUUGUAUUUGACUGUAUUCGACUGUAUUCAUGGCGUGAAAUAUGGGAUUACACUGUUUUUAAAAUAGGAAGUUAUCAAUUAACAUAAUAGACUCCU
rnacentral:pre_miRNA from 1 species